AGGGUCCCCUCCCCCCGCCCGCCCACUUGGGCGAGGCAACGCGCGAGACAGAAACAAACGAACACACAAAAAAAGCGCGCGGGGGCCUCGCGGAGAAGAGCACCGCGUGGAGGGGUGGGGGUGGAGUCACAACCAGCAGCUCCCGCUUCAAACAGCUCCCGUCUCGUCGAGCCCAGUUUGCCCGGGGGCCAAGCAACUUCUGGGAAGCUGCAUCUUCUGCGAUCAGUUUAGUUUUACACAAAGGUUUUGGGGAAAAGUAUCAGUUUGUAUAGAAAGACAGAUCUCUUCUUAAGAACAGAAAGAAAGAAACAUAUUAGGUACCUUAACUCUAAAUCUGGAUCUUCUAAAGCUGCUUUAGUGUUUCAAUUGUCCUCUUUACCCAGGAGUUCCCAACCUUUUAAAACAAGUGUACCUCUUCUGUCACAAACCUUCAGCUCAGCAUUGCAUCCUAGAUGUUUGUCUCCUGUUGCAGCUUUAUAAACACACAGAACUAGCAGAGCAAAGACUGCAAGAACUGCAAAAGAAAUUUCAAGAACAUCACAUUUAAAGAAAGAUGGAGAAACAAGGCGAUACUGUAAUUUCUACUCUUCAAGUUCAAGUGGAUGAUGUAAAAAAUGUCAUGACUCAAAAUAUUGAGAAGGUUUUGGAAAGAGAAGAAAGACUGACUGAACUGGCUGACCGAAGCAGUGACCUUGAAACAGUGGCUCAUGGUUUCCAAAAAACUACUAUGAAGAUUUCAAGGAAGAUGUGGUGGAAAAAUACCAAAAUGAUUAUAAUUAUUGUAGUAAUUCUUAUCAUCAUCGUAAUUUUCAUCGUCCUUUUAGCCACAGGUGUUAUUCCAACAUAAAGAACUUUUAAGCAGCUACUAGCAAUUUUCUGUAAAAAUGUCUAUAUUCAGAAGUAUUUACAUUUAGGUUUUUUUUAAAAAAAACAAUAAAUGUAGUUAACAGCAA